rnacentral:rRNA from 1 species
UACGAAGGGGGCUAGCGUUGUUCGGAAUUACUGGGCGUAAAGCGCACGUAGGCGGAUCGAUCAGUCAGGGGUGAAAUCCCAGAGCUCAACUCUGGAACUGCCUUUGAUACUGUCGAUCUAGAGUAUGGAAGAGGUGAGUGGAAUUCCGAGUGUAGAGGUGAAAUUCGUAGAUAUUCGGAGGAACACCAGUGGCGAAAGCGACUCUCUGGACGGCAACUGACGCUGAGGCACGAAAGCGUGGGGAGCAAACAGG